ACGGAAGGCAGCAGUGGGGAAUAUUGGGCAAUGGGGGCAACCCUGACCCAGCAACGCCGCGUGAAGGAAGAAGGCCUUCGGGUUGUAAACUUCUUUUAUCAGGGACGAAGGAAGUGACGGUACCUGAUGAAUAAGCCACGGCUAACUACGUGCCAGCAGCCGCGGUAAUACGUAGGUGGCAAGCGUCAUCCGGAUUUACUGGGUGUAAAGGGCGCGAAGGCGGGGAUGCAAGUCAGAUGUGAGAUCCAUGGGCUUAACUCAUGAACUGCAUUUGAAACUGCAUCUCUUGAGUGUCGGAGAGGUAGAUGGAAUUCCUAGUGUAGCGGUGAAAUGCGUAGAUAUUAGGAGGAACACCAGUGGCGAAGGCGAUCUACUGGACGAUAACUGACGCUGAGACGCGAAAGCGUGGGGAGCAAACAGGAUUAGAUACCCUGGUA
rnacentral:rRNA from 1 species